AGUGUGUGUUGGUGUAAGACACCUGGUAUCUUUAGGCAGCAUGAGUCCUUUGUAAUUACUACAGGUUCUGCAAAGAACUAUUACUCUUGGCAAGGACUUUAUUGACAUUCCCUUUAGCAAACAGAGACUCGGUGAUGUUCACGGCCACCAGCUCUCAGGAAAGGCUGUUGUGGGCAGCAACACAGCUGGACAUUCCUUUGCUUACUGAUGGGAGAUUCAUAAGGUAAAUGAAACUUGAGCACAACUUUCAAAAGAUGGAGAAUCUCAUCAUUGUCAUAAUGUAUAUUUUACUCUUUCAAAUGAUUUUAUUAAAUAACUUAUUAUGAGGUUUAUAAUGCCAGAAC
rnacentral:lncRNA from 10 species